ACUGCGGUGUAGGUAAUGGUACUGCUGC
rnacentral:sRNA from 1 species